rnacentral:lncRNA from 1 species
GCAAGGAGUAAUCCUAACAUCUUUCAAUCCUUCUAAUGCUUCUCGUCUUUGGAGAGGGUUGUGUGGAGUCAGGGAUAAGUUUAGGAGUGGAAUUCUUUGGAAUGUUGAAAGUAGCACGAAGGUGGAUUUUUGGCAUGUUAAUUGGCUUCAAGAUUGUGGACCCUUGAUUGAUAGUUGUACCCAGUUAUCAGAAGUUACUAAUGGCCAUGUGCCCGGUUAUAGUUAUGGUGACA